CAGGCUGCCUAUUAGAAGACAGAAACUCCAUACGCGUCAUACACCUGCACCCGGGAGGAAAGGCGAGGCUCUGCAUCUAGAUUUACCUCGUUCUCUUUUGUCUCCGCUUUUUUUUCACAUUUCCUUGCGACCCUGGCCCUUGAGCGACAAAAAGGGGAAGCCAAGGCUGGCCCGAGGAACGGAGAGGGCACAUGGCCUAGCCACAAGUGGAGCUUCUGCUCCGCCCGAAGGGAUGCGCUGGAGCGGCCUCUUCCUUCUGCCACGGUCUUUCUUUGCCAACUAGUAGGUGAGGGCCGAAAGGCCGCGGGCCGUGGAGCUCGGGCCGGGGAGACUCUUUUCUAGCCUCUUGGGUCCCGCUCCUCCCAAUUCCCUGGAGAGGCGUCGAGCUUGCUGGGAAGUGCCCUCGGGUAAGGGGCGCGGAGCCUCCUGCGGCGAUCCUCUGUCUUCGGGUCGCCUUAGCAGGACGCGGCAAGCGGGACACUGACCUGGCCGGAGUCCCGCGUUCUCUCACCAGCUGCUUUGUCCACGAGUUGCUGCUGGGCGUCAGGGGUCCCACGGCCCGGAGGGAUCUAGAGCAGGGGGGCUCGGGGUCCUUUCCAUACCCUCGGAUCCUCUCCCACUCUCUCCACGCCUCGACCCGGAGAUGAUUUCAGGCUCCAGAUCUCUUUCAUAAAUGGAAAGAGUUUUUUUGGUUUGUUUUGUCUUAAUUAUGUAGGUGUUGCAUGCUUGGAAGAGAAAAUUUAGAAAAUUAAUUGGAAAACCAUAAAGAUAGCUUUCUCGUGAUAGCCACAAGGCUUGCUCCCUCAUUCUGCUCAUAUGUCACCCCCUCAAGGAGGCCUUCCCCAGCUCUGUAAACAACCUGUGCUCGGCGUUAACUUUUCUCCCUAAUGUUUAUCACUACCUGACAUAUACGUGUUUCCCACGACUCAACGAUAAGUGUUCAUGAGGGCAGACACUUUUUAAUGCCCUAUGACAAGCACCUAGAAUUGUGCCUGGCACAUGGUAGAUGCUUAGUAAAUAUUUGUUUAAUGAAUGAAGGUAAAAAACAUUUCUAAUACGACCAUCCAGGAAUAAGUACUAUUCAUGUUUUAGUGUGUUCUUACAGUUUUACUGUUCAGACAGUUAUAUGCCUGUGAAUAUAUAUUAUAUAUGUGUGUAUAUAUAUAUAUAUAUAUAUAUAUAUAUUUUUUUUUUUUUUUUGAGACAGAGUCUCGCUCUGUCACCCAGGCUGGACUGCAGUGGCGCGAUCUUGGCUCACUGCAACCUCCGCCUCCUGGAUUCAAGCGAUUCUUCUGCCUCAGCCUCCCGAGUAGCUAGGAUUACAGGCAUGUGUCACCACGCCCGGCUAAUUUUGUAUUUUUAGUAGAGACGGGGUUUCUCCGUGUUGGUCAGGCUGGUCUCGAACUCCUGACCUCAGGUGAUCUGCCCGCCUCGGCCUCCCAAAGUGCUGAGAUUACAGACGUGAGCCACCGUGCCUGGCGGAAUUUUCAUAUUUUAAGUCCCCCACCCUUGGACAUUUAGAUUUUUUCCAUCUUUCUGUAUUUGCAGAUAUGCUUCUACGUACACCUUUAUUCAUUUGCUUGAACAUUUCCCUGAGAAAAACUAGAAAUGGAAUUGCCAGAUUACUUUGUGUACAUGUUUCCAAACUGUCCUCCAGAAAGAAUGUAAUGCUUUGAACUUCCACUUGAGAAUCAAAUGUUUACCUUCCUCUGUUCCUCCAGAUUUGGACAUUUACAGUGUUCAGCCGUUGUUGUGGCAUUCCAAUUCAAUUGGGAAACAGCUUGAUGUAGCGUCCCCAUAAGGUCCACAGUAAUUAAAUUUUUUUUUUUUUUUUUUGGUGCGGUAGUGCAAUUUCAUGGCUCACUGCAACCUCCACCUCCCAGGUUCAAGCGAUCCUCCCAUCUCAGCCUCCCUAGUAGCUGGGAUUACAGGUGCACGCCACCACACCAGGCUAAUUUUUGUAUUUUUAGUAGAGAUGGGGUUUCACCAGGUUAGCCAGGCUGGUCUUGAACUCCAGACCUCAAGGGAUCCGCCUGCCUCAGCUUUCCAAAGUGCUGGGAUUACAGGUGAGAACCACUGCACCCAUCCUAUUAAACUUUUAAAUCAUGAUAGUUACCAUGUAUAGAGUGUUUAUAUGCCAGGCAUUGAGCUAAGUCUUUUACGUCUUGCGCUCAUUCUGUGCAACAGCCCAAUGGGAGAAAUUCCAUGAAUAUAGUUACCAUUUCCUUGAUUUCUAGAGAAGCUGGAUAUGUUUUCUUUUUUUCCAGUAUUAUUUCUAUUUAUCCUUUUGUGAAUUGUCUGUUGUUAUUUUCAUUGGAAUAUUCUCUUUUUUUGACAGAGUCUCACUCUGUUGCCCAGGCUGGAGUGCAAUGGCACGAUCUCGGCUCAUUGCAAACCUCUGCCUCCUGGGUUCAAGCAAUUCUCCUGCCUCAGCCUCCCAAGUAGCUGGGAUUACAGGCACCCGCCACCACGCCCAGCUAAUUUUUUGUAUUUUUAGUAGAGACGGGGUUUUGCCAUGUUGGCCAGGCUGGUCUCGAACUCCUGACCUCAGGUGAUCCACCCAUUUCGGCCUCCCAAAGUACUGGGAUUACAGGUGGAGACUGGACCUCAGAAGAGGGAGUGGGUGCCCCGAGAACUCACAGCUAGCGGACAGUGGAAAGGGCAGGAGCCGGACCAAGUGUUCAUCCAUCGCCCUGUAUUAGCGAAGAACAACAUCAAGCUGGCUAGCAAGGAACUGUAUACAGGGUCCAGCUGGGUAUCACACUGGAUCUCACCCAAAGCUUAGAUGUGAUCCAGCUCAGUAUCACAAAGCAGAACGAAAAGGAUGUGUUUGGGCUGAGAGGCCAUACAUUGGCUCCGGCAUGACGGGUGACUUCUUCCGAGUCUGGCUUCUGCAGCACACAGGGCUUCGCCAGCACCCAGCUCCUGCAGCAUGGGCAGCUCCUGUGACAGCAGGCGCCCGCAGCCUGCAAAGCGUCUCCAGUGCCGCCGCCUCAGUGAACCUCAACCAGCGGCACCUAGCAGCUUUCUCUGCCACCCUCUUCAGGUAGUUCUGUAGCAGCGCGUUUCUCAUGAGACACUUCCCUGUGAGCAGCUUUUUCUACCCUUGAGGAUGGAUUUCCAGCAAAUUCUGCCCAUGUGGUACCACAGCCACUUCUCUGCCAUUCAGUGAAACUGCCGUUGUGCCCUCUUCAAGGUCUGGAUCUAAGCCCAGGGACCAGGAAACCUCUUGCUUGAGUGCUGGAACUCAGGCCAGAAGGUAUGGCUGCUGCUAUGUGCUGUGACCAGAGAAUCAGAGUUCUCUUUACUUCUUACCAGCCAACCUCUUGAAAAUGCCUUUUUGUUUUUUGUUUUUUUUUGAGACGGAGUCUCGCUCUGUUGCCCAGGCAGUGCAGUGGCUCACUGCAACCUCCGCCUCCUGAGUUCAAGUGAUUCUCCUGCCUCAGCCUCACAAGUAGGUGGGAUUACAGGCAUGUGCCACCACGCCCAGCUAAUUUUGUAUUUUUAGUAGUGACGGGGUUUCUCCAUGUUGGUCAGGUUGGUCUCAAACUCUCGACCUCAGGUGAUCCACCUGUCUCAGCCUCCCAAAGUGCUGGGAUUACAGACGUUAGCCAGAGCGCCCAGUCUAAGCCCUUUAUAGCUUAAUUCUAUAUAUUAAAUUUUCCCAGUUCAAAUUACUGUGUGCUUCCCUUCUCCUGAUUGGACCUUGCUUGAUACAAAAUUAGUACAAGGAGUGGUCUCAAGAGAUAGAUGCACAAAGAAGGGAUAUGGGGACGGAUUUGGGUAUUUGGGCUUGAGUGCAGACUGAGCUCCUUGACAAUGAGAAAUAGGAUAUGUAUUAGGGUUCUCCAGAAACAGAAUAACAGAAUCUAUAUAUACAUGUGUAUGUGUGUGUAUAUAUAUAUAUAUAGAGAGAGAGAGAGAGAGCUUUUAUGUGUGUGUAUAUGUAUAUAUAUAAACACACACACACUAAGGUAUUGCCUCACAUGAUUAUGGCAGUCGAGAAGCCCCACAAUCUGCUAUCUGCAAGCUGGAGACCCAAGGUCAGUGGUGCAGCAUUUUUUUUUCAGAUGGGGUCUCCCUCUGUUGCCCAGGCUGGACU
rnacentral:lncRNA from 10 species